GCCAAUGUUUUUCAAGGGAGUUCAUCAUACAAUCAGAAAAAUCGAUCUUGUUGAGAAAUCGAUGUCUUACUCCAUAACUUUGAGGGAACCAUAGCCUGACAAAGGGUUCGGUCCAAUUUGGACGUCCAUUUAGGAGGUGCCAAACAGACCCCAUCAUUGAUUUGAGAUCUUGAUAAGGUGAAUACCCAGUCUAUUCAAUGCUAGGCAUAAUGAGAGUAUAAGGACCUCAAAAAAAUCUCUUUUCGUCAUAUGAACUUUAAGGUGUAUGAAGUUUCAUAUUUGAUUUUUUAAGCAGAAACGAUAGAGACUUCAUUUAACUUAGGUUUAUUUAGGCCAGAGACAGACCUACGUCAAGAUAAUCCCACCUUUGAAACACUUUGGUAAUGCUCCCAAAUAAUGAAUCAGAGCACAUGGAGCCAUUUCCUUAUCUUUUUUUCUGUCAAGAAAAAAAAUGGCAGACUAACUGCUAUAAAUAUCAGUUAAUGAAAGAGCCCAAUGCAAAAAAAAUGCAUGUUGGGUCUUUGAAACAGUUCAGAUCAUUUUAAUAAUAAUAAGUUAGAUAUGUUUUACUGAGAAAGUCUACGGUUCAAGUCCGUAUAGCCCUAUAAAAUAAAAUAAAAAUGAAAAAAAAUUGUAUAAUUCUCAUUUAUUCAUUAUUAUUUCUUGCUUGUAACUAAGUGAAAUUCAACUAUUCCUAUAAGUUUACUCAUGGCAAUCAUUUAAGUUUAAGCAGAUGAAAGAAACAACGCAUAUCAAUGGAUCCAAUCAAUAUUUAUUUUGUCAUUUGCAGAUAAAAAAACCAACCUUUCGUCAUUAAUCUUCGGAGGCGAAUUACAUAUUCAUAUCCACAAUAAAAGAAUUAGUGAUACCCCCUUUCUUUUGAUAUCCCCAAUCUUAUUGAAUUUUGGAAGUCAAAUCAUUUCACGGGCUUAGUGAAAUGAAAAACUACGAAGAGGAAUUCACAUGGAUUUAGGAAGGGACUGCUGUAUUUGUGUACAAGCUAAAGUUUUUUGAAAAACGAAUAUCUUUGGUCACUUUCAUUAUCAAAUAGGCUUUUCCUUCGUAUACCUUACUUACCUCGACCUAGCGAAGCACAACACAAAAAAGGUAGUCUUCUUUUUCUGUAUUCAACCAAGAAAAACCCCUCCACCUGGAUUCGAAUCCUAAUACUAUUAUUAAAUAAUAAUAAAAUAAUAAAAGGAAUAUACCAACACAAGAUCUUCUAAAUCUUGAGAUGGAAGUUCCUAUACAUUCUCUUCUAUUUGAUUACUUGUUCCAUUCUAGAUCACUAAAUCACUAAGAAAAAAAAUUAAAAUAAAGACCUCCUGAUUCUAUUUAUUCUAUUUAUAGAAAAAAAUAGAAAUAUUUAAAGAAUUUCUAAUUAAAGAAGAAAAAUUAAAGAAGAACUAAGAUAAUUAAUUAAUUUAGAAUUCCCCGUCUUUAGUUUAGAGAAAAAAACAAGAGAAAGAGGAGAAUUUGUAUAAGAGUAAUAUAUAGUUAGAAGGUUCUACUAACUAAAUAAAAUGGAAAUAAGUAUAAUGGAAAUAAAAUCGGAUUCCAGUCGAUGAAUCUUGCAAUGAGAUAUGCCCUACAAUAAACCAAUAAACAAAGCCAAACUAGGUGGUUUGAUCAAAAUGAAUUCUUGUUUUGACUAAUAUAGUUAUGGAUGGCUUGACAAUUACAAUGCGAAUCAACCAAUCGAAUCCGGUAUAUUUUCCACGUUCAUAGGAGUUUGUUUAUGUUUCUGAUUUACGAAUAUGAUUUUUUUGGGGCAUUUCUAAUAAUAUCCAUCCUUGUUCCUAUUUUGGCAUUUUUCAUUUCCAGAGUGUUAGCCCCAAUUAACAAAGGGCCGGAGAAACUUUCUACUUAUGAGUCGGGUAUAGAACCAAUAGGUGAUGCUUGGUUAUAAUUUCGAAUCUGUUAUUAUAUGUUUGCUCUAGUUUUUGUUAUUUUUGAUGUUGAAACGAUUUUUCUUUAUCCAUGGGCAAUGAGUUUCGACGUAUUGGGUGUAUCUUAUUUAUAGAAGCUUUGAUUUUUGUGCUUAUCUUAAUUAUUGGUUUAGUUUAUGCAUGGCGAAACGGGGCAUUGGAAUGGUCUUAGCUCCUGAAUAUUCAGACAAUAAAAAGAAAAACGGAAAAAAUAAGAUUGAGACAAUAAGAUUGAGACAGUUAUAAAUUCCAUUUAGUUUCCUUUACUUGAUCGAACAACCCCAAAUUCAGUUAUUUCAACUAUAUUAAAUGAUCUUUCAAAUUGGUCAAGACUCUCUAGUUUAUGGCUUCUUCUCUAUGGUACCAGUUGUUGCUUUAUUGAAUUUGCUUCACUAAUAGGCUCAUACUUCGACUUUGAUCGUUAUGGACUAGUACCAAGAUCGAGUCCUAGACAAGCAGAUCUCUGAUUUUAAGGCUAGAACAGUAACAAUGAAAAUGGCCCCCUCUUUAGUGAGAUUAUAUGAGCAAAUGCCUGAACCAAAAUAUGUUAUUGCUAUGGGAGCCUGUACAAUUACAGUUAGGAUAUUCAGUACUGAUUCUUAUAGUAUUAUUUGGGGAGUCGAUAAGCUAAUUCCUGUAGAUGUAUAUUUGCCUGGUUGCCCACCUAAACCGGAAGAAGUUAUAGAUGCUAUAACAAAACUUCAUAAGAAAAUAUCUCGAGAACUCUAUGAAGAUCGAAUUAGGUCUCAACGAGUGAAUCGGUGUUUUACUACCAAUCACAAGUUUCAUAUUCGAUGCAGUAUUCAUACAGGAAAUUAUGAUCAAAGAGUUCUUUAUCAACCACCAUCUACUUCAAAGAUCCCUACGAAAAUUUUUUCUAAAUACAAAAAUUUAGUAUCUUCCCCCGAAUUAGUGAAUUAGACAGGAUUCCUUUGACCAGAAUAUGAAGUAGUGGGUCAAUUUUCAUAAAUUUAAUCGUAAAUGUGAAAUACUUAUACAAAUAAAUAUGUGGGAGAGAUAAAAAAGAUGCAGGGUCAUUUGUCUGCUUGGCUAGUCAAUAUGGGCUAAUUCAUAGAUCUUUGGGCUUUGAUUACCAAGGAAUAGAGACUUUACAAAUAAAGCCCGAGAAUUGGCAUUCCAUUGCUGUCAUUUUUUAUGUAUAUGGGUAAAAUUAUCUCCGCUCUCAAUGUGCCUAUGAUGUAGCGCCUGGCGGGCUGUUAGCUAGUGUGUAUCAUCUUAUGAGAAUAGACGAAGGUGUGGAUUAACCAGAAGAGGUAUGCAUAAAAGUCUUUUCCUCCAGGAGGAAUCCUAGAAUUCCAUCUAUUUUUUGGGUUUGGAAAAGUGUGGAUUUUCAAGAACGAGAAUCAUAUGAUAUGUUGGGAAUCUCUUAUGAUAAUCAUCCAUGCUUGAAACGUAUCUUAAUGCCUAAAAGUUGGAUAGGAUGGCCCUUACGUAAGGAUUAUAUUGCCCCCAAUUUUUAUGAAAUACAAGAUGCUCAUUGAAUGAUAAGAAAGCUAUUUCCACUUAGACAAUUUAAGAUAUUCAAGGAUUGCAUAUUCUGUUCUAGAUUAAGCAAGUCUAAUUUAGGGAAUUAUCAAUAGGCUAACAAAAAAAGACAAUUAGGGAUUCAUUGUAAUUCUCACAUUUUUUGGAAGAUACUUAUUUCGUAUGAGUGAUACCAAUAGGAUAAACCAAAUGAGUUAUGCAUCAUGAACUUUGUACUGCGCACAUUACUUAUACGGGUUCUAGAAGGGCAUAUAGGAAGGGAUGGAGAAAUCUGGAAUGAAGAAAUCGAAUAUGAAAGAAAAGACAAAGAAAUGAUAGAAUAUCAAAUUCUAUUUCUUUGGAUCUGAGCUGAAUCUUGUCUAUUUCAACCCCCUUGGAUUCGACUUUUUAGCCUUUCAACAAUUAGAUAAUUUUACCUUUCAAAUAUGUAUUACGUAUUCAAAUUUUUUUGAACGAGAGGAGAAAAAAAAAGGAGAUAGAAUCUAAUUCUUUUUGAUACUUUAUCUAAGAAACUCUACCCAUAUAGAACAUGGUAUGGGGUAUAUCUCGCGAAACUGGAUAAAGCUAUUAUUCUAAUCUAGACACUAAAAGAAUAUGUAUGUUGAUUCAUAUCAAUUAAUUAGAAAUUAAUUCUAGUGAAGAGAGACCCAUACAAAUUAAUCAUGUGCCAGGAACCAGAUUUGAACUGGUGACACGAGGAUUUUCAGUCCUCUGCUCUACCAACUGAGCUAUCCCGGCUAUUCCCAAUCCAGAUUUUUUAUCAAGGUUGGGACUGGUAACCCGAGGAUUUUCAGGGCUAUACCAAUCCCAAUUGGAACCUCGAACAUGAGAAUUUUAAGUCCCCGUUAACAGGAGGAUUUAGAGUCCUCUGGUCUUCCCAAUUGGAACCGUUCGUUAACAUGAGGAUUUUUAGUUUUCUGCUUGUUACUCAGUUCUCUGCUUGUUACUCUAAUUUUAUCUUAACAAAUUUGAUCUUAACACAUAAACGGGUCUUUGUCAAUAGGUCUUUGUCAAUUAAAAGGACAAAAGUCGAUUAAAAAAUUUUAUCAAAGCCGGGGAAUUUCUUCGAUCUUCAAAAAGAUGACUUUGUAAGUUUCAGUAUUGAGUAAUGAUAUUGGUAAUCAUUCAACUAGGGAUUCCUUGCUCAAAGAUGUUCAGUUCUAUGUGUAUCAUAUAUAUCACAAGGCUUAAGAGAAAGCCAUUUACGCUAAAAUCCAUUUCUAAAAGAAAAAUCCAUUUCUAAAAGAAUAGAGUGAAUGAGAAAGAUAAGUAAUUUGGAACUGCUAAGGAAAGGGGGUCGGAGAAAUAGUUGGGGGUUGAAAUAGUCUUUUUGGGGAUAGAGGGACUUGAACCCUCACGAUUUUAAAAGUCGACGGAUUUUCCUCUUACUAUAAAUUUCAUUGUUGCCAGUAUUGACAUGUAGAACGAGACUCUAUCGUUAUUCACGUCCUAUUAAUCAGUUCUUCAAAAGAUCUAUCAGACUAUGGAGUGAAUGAUUUGAUUAGGGAUUCGGGUCGUUAUUAAUCAUUUGAUAUAGUAUUCAAUACGUAUGUAUAUACGUUUAUCCUUCACUUCAUUCUUUUUCUUUCUGAAGUUUCGAUGUAAAGAUUCCUCUACCAACACAUUUAACUCCAUUUGUUAGAAUAGCUUCCAUUGAGUCUCUGCACCUAUCCUUUUUUUCUGAACCUUUAUUUGUUUUCAGAAAAUAGGAUUUGGCUCAGGAUUGCCCAUUUUUGUUCAUUCCAGGGUUUCUCUGAAUUUGAAAGUGAUCACUUAGUAAGUUUCCAUACCAAGGCUCAAUCCAAUUAAGUCCGUAGCGUCUACCGAUUUCGCCAUAUCCCCCUUUCUUUUUGUUUUGAGAUUAGGAUCUCGUUGUGAUGUCAUUCCUUUUUCUUUUUCUUUCAUUUAUACUGGAACCAUUGAAUUCAUUAGAUACCGAUUCCUAUCUCGAAAACGUGUUUUCUCCUCUUUGAUUUUCUUAACUAUCUUCUAUAGGCGACCUUUUUUUAUCCAAUAAAAAAUGAUUUUAUCAUCUCGGAAUCCACAAUUCAAUAUAGAUGGAUCUAUACCCAAUCUAUAUGUCUCUCUUCUUGUUAUUUUGCCAUUCAAUUUGGAAUGCUUAAACGAUCAAUUCUUGUUUUUUAUCAUCACUUUUGCCUAUAAGCGGAGGAAUGUCUCAUUAAUUAUAACUAACCAUUCCAUUAAACAAUUUUGAAAUAACUAUAGAAUGAGAGAUAUAUAUGAUAUAGAAUCAAAUAUAGAACUGUAGUAAAAAAGAUUUCAAAUGCCAAAAAAAGAAAUGAAAAAGAAUAUUUACCAUUCAAAUUGAAAAUGAAAAGAAAAAGAAUAUUAACAAUGUUUGCAAUCACUAUUUAAUGAUAUUAGCAUUAGAAUUGUUAUUAGAAUUAUGAUAAAUCGAAAUUCUAGAUCGCUAUAGUAAUCCUUAUGCUCUAGAAUCUAGAAUAUUCAAUACAAUAUUGAAUAGUUAAUAAUUCCAAUUCUAUUAGUUUAGGCAAUUACUAUGCAUAUAAGAUUUCUGUGAUGUGGGCCUGCUUAGCUUAGAGGUUAAAGCAUCACAUUUGUAAUACGAUGGUCAUUGGUUCGAUUCCGAUAGCCGUCUUUUCCCUAUUCUUUGAUUUCAGAGAAACAUUAUCAAUCAUCUAAAAAAUGGAAUAAAAAGAAUAGGGAAAUAACGCCUUUCUCCUUUUCCAAAAGCUAUCAAUUUAUUAUAGGAACUUCCAAUUAUGUCAGGAAAGGAUUAUAUAUAUAAUAGAAGGGGUUCUGUAUAUUUAUCCAAUUCACCCCAUUCUUCUUUUCUUUAUAGUAUUUAUAUUAAAUAGUAAUAGUACAAGUACAUUAUUUCAAUAAACUUCGCUUCAUUUAGUUCAGUUUAGUUUUAGUUUAGGUUUAUUAUGUAAAAUAAAAUUCAAUAAAAAAUAAAUAGAAAUAAGAAUUAAUUCGAAAUACUAAAUAAGAAAUAAGAAUAAGGAGUCUUUAUGUCGUGUUACCGAGGACCUCGUUUCAAAAAAAAUACGACGCCUUGGGGCUUUACCAGGACUAACUAAUAAAAAGACUAGGACCGGAAAUGAUCUUAGAAACCAAUCGCGUUUUGGAAAAAAAAUCUCAAUAUCGUAUUCGUCUAGAAGAAAAACAAAAAUUGUGUUUUCAUUAUGGUCUUAUAGAAUGACAAUUACUUAACUACGUUCGUAUCGCCAGAAAAGCCAAGGGGUCAACAGGUCAAGUUUUACUACAAUUACUUGAAAUGCUCUUGGAUAACAUCCUUUUUCGAUUGGGUAUGGCUUCAACUAUUCCUGUAGCUCAUCAAUUAGUUAACCAUCGACAUAUUUUAGUUAAUGGUCGUAUAGUAGAUAUACCGAGUUAUCGCUGCAAACCCCAAGAUAGUAUUACGUCAAAGAAUGAACAAAAAUCCAGAGCUCUGAUUCAAAUUUCUCUAGAUUCAUCCCCUCAUGAGGAAUUACCAAAUCAUUUAACCCUUCACCCAUUCCAAUAUAAAGGAUUAGUCAAUAAAAUAAUAGAUAGUAAAUGGGUCGGUUUGAAAAUAAAUGAAUUGAUAGUCGUAGAAUAUUAUUCUCAUCAGACUUAAACCUCAGACUAAAACCAAGGGUUCGUAAAAUUUUCUUCCCUUUAGGCGAAGUAAAUUAACCCAAGGUUAAGUAAGAUAAAUCCGAGUUUGAUCUGGAUUUCCCCCAUUUUUGUAUCAUAGACCAAGGAUCUAUUUUCAUUCCUUGUUUUCAUUCCUUGUCUACUCUUUUCUUUCCAGUAUUUUGAUUAUGAUUAUUUUUUAGUAUUCUAUUUUACAUGUCAAAGUAAUUAGGAAUUGAGAAUCUAUAUCUUUAGAUCAAAGAAGGUUCUAGCUAUUGGAAUAAUGGUAUCCAUUGCUAUUUGAGCCCUUGUUGUUAGUAAAAUUGGUGAAUUAAAUGAAGGUGCGGAAAGAGAGGGAUUCGAAGCCUCGAUAAACAAAAGCCUGCAUAGCAGUUCCAAUGCUACGCCUUGAACCACUCAGCCAUCUCUCCUACAUAAUGAUUAUGACCCCAAAACCGAGUGCAUAGUGAGUCAGUCAUAACCCAUAUUCCAUUAUAAGACUAGGUACGGCCAAUCCAUUUUAACUUAAACUAAAAAAUUUUCAUCAAAGUCAAAGCAAAGAACGAUUUUUCUUUCCUUCAAGGCUCUGGGAUAAAGAUAGAAUUUUUCAUAAAAAUUGUUAAAACAAUUCAAUUCAUAUUUCCAAAAGCAACGUUCCCUUCUUUUUCUGAUAUUUUUAUAAUGGAUUAAUUCAAUGAAUUAGAACGAAUCAACUGAUUGAUGGUCUAUAUCUUUUAGACUAGAGUUAAUGGCUACUCUUAAAUCAUAAUUCUAAUUAUAUAGAUGUAGACUAUGAUUCCAUACCAGAAAAUUUCUCAAAUUCCUUUUCGGUUUUGGAGUUCUCAACAACAAAUACCAACCCCUCUAUUAGAAUAGAAAUUCAUAAACAAAUUGAGAUUUGAUUGUAUAGUGUAUACCCGUUAUGCACACAAAAUUGUCAGUUAUUCUAUUUUCAACCUCAGAUGCUAUGUUUCAAUUCUCAAUUUUAGUAUUAAGUGAAAGGUUACACCUAGAGGUUCUGUAUUACGGGUCAAUCCUACUCUACUAGAGCUAAUAGGCAGCAUAGGGGAAGAAGCGCUACACCUAGGAAUCAACAACACGAAAACUUUGUUCUAAGUCAUCCUAUCCCUUAGCGGGCUUGGGACUAAAAAAAUGGUUGGGACAACAAACAUCCAUCUUGUUUGUCCUUUGGAUACCCGUAUAACCAUCGAAGGCUAUUGAAGUGACUAAUUCUUGUAAAUUAGGAGGCGUUAAAAAAAAUAAAUUAUUGGAGUUAUCUUAUCAUUUGUAUCUAGUCCCAAUAGGCUUGAUGUUAAGAAAGAAUCUCUCGCAGGAAGGUUGGCUAGAGAUUUCUUGUAAAAAUGCUAGCCCUUCUGAGUUCAUAAUGAGAAUAUUUUCAUCAUUAAAUCUUUUUUUAUUCUAUAUAUUAUUCUCAUUAUGCACAUAAGGUAGGAGCCGUAUGAGGUGAAAUUCUCACGUACGGUUCUGGAACGGAGAUUCUUUCAAUUGAAUGACGACCGUAAUGGAUGUCGGCUCAAUCCGAAGGAAAUUACGCGGAAGCUUUGCAGAAUUAUUAUGAAGCUAUGCGACUAGAAAUUGAUCCCUAUGAUCGAAGUUAUAUCCUCUAUAAUAUGGGGCUUAUCCACACAAGUAAUGGAGAACAUACGAAAGCUUUGGAAUAUUAUUUUCGAGCACUAGAACGAAACCCAUUCUUACCACAAGCUUUUAAUAAUAUGGCCAUGAUCUGUCAUUAAGUGCGACUAUCUCUACUAUAGAAAGUAAAAAAAAUCUAGUAAAGUAACUAGUAGAACCAAAUAGGUUUUCUACAUAUGCAUCGUCUAAAACAAUGAUUUUUAUCAGCUGUAGCAAAGAAAGAAACUUUAUAGAAGUCAAAAUAGGAAAAAAUAAAAAUGCCUAGCAACUUUUGCUAUGGAUAUAAAGCUUUAAUUGAUAGAGAGAGAGGAAUCACCGUAAAGAUCAAUUAGCGAGGUUUUGGGCCGAUACAAUAAUAACUGUGUACUUAUCUCAUAAUGUGAGAUAAGAAUUAGGAAUUAACUUAUGUAAUAGAGUCGAUCCACUAAAGUCUUGAGCAGCGGUGUAGGAUCAGAUCCCAAAGAUAGUAAGUAUUUUCUUUCUUAUGAAAGAAAGUCUUUUUCAAAGAUUCUAUAUAAAUUUAUCUAUGAAACCGAGAUAGUUACCUUUCAGAAAAUUCUACCAGUAGUAGAAAUGCCUAUGCUUUAUUCUUCUGAAGGUGGGAAAAAAGAUAAAACUAAAUAAACGGAUUAUUCAUCCAAAUUUCAGUUUGAAACUCAUGUAAUUAACCUAUUUUUCUUUUGGUUAACCCUAAAACUGGGAUAGAUCCAUGAGAAAUCUGAUUAGAUAGAUAUGGUAUAGAUCAAAAUGGGACACCAAAAGAAUUGACUGCUGAGCCGUAUGAGGUAAGAAAUUCUCAAGUACGGUUCUAAGGGAAGGAAUUGAACUACCUAUUCCGGCCGGGGAGAACAGGCCAUUCAACAGGGAGAUUCUGAAAUUGCAGAGGCUUGGUUCGAUCAAGCCGCUGAGUAUUGGAAACAGGCUAUAGCGCUUACUCCCGGUAAUUAUAUUGAAGCGCAUAAUUGGUUGAAGAUCACGAGACGUUUCGAAUAAAAGAAGACCCCCUUUAUUUAUUAUCCUUUAUUUAGAAUUUAGAUAUUUGUUAUAAUUAAUUGUUUGUUGGACCCAUCAGAUCAGUUAACUAAAAAACGGAUCAUUCCUUUGCUUUUGGAAGACCCAAUCACAUAAUUUCAUUAUCUCCCUUCUAAGCCUUCUAUUUCACUUCUAUAUUCAUCUGCUAUUUUUUAGGAAUAAAAAAGACAGAUAGAGGACAAAAUAGACUUCUUUUUAUUCUAUUUAUUUAUUAUUUAUUUAUUUAUAUUAAUAUAUUAAAAUUAUUUAUUUAUAUUAAAAUUAAAAUAUAUUAAAAUUAAAAUUAAAAAAUAUUAAAAUGAAAAAAUUCAAUUAAACAAAAUUCUUAUUAGUUAUUAGUAUUAAAACUAAUAAAAGAAACCCUUGAAUCACUAAAUAUAUAUAUACCGGGGAUGUCUCUUAGUAAUGUCUAAUGGCUACUAGCGUGAUUUGGAAUAGAGUAAUUACAAUCUUCUAGGUAAAAAAUUAAAGAGCUCCAUCUAAUAACUUCUAUGAAUAUACACUAGGUUGCACAAAAAAGUCGUUUUUGGAUCAAUCCAAAGCCCAAAAAGGUUUUUAAAAGGUUAAAGGGUCCGUUGAGCGCCUCAAGGCUAUGUCAUAAUAGAUCUGAACACUUGCCCCGGAUCGACUUCUAGAUCAUAAUUGCUCUAGUAAAUAACUAAAGAAAAUAGAUAGAUGGGAGAUAGAAAAAUAGAAGAGAAACGAACUAAUUAUAGAAAUAUCUCUCUAUCUCUAAGGUUCACUAAUUAUUUGACUGUUGGCGGGUCUCUUUGUAUGUGUUGUCCGGAAAGAGGAGGACUCAAUGAUUAUUCGUUCGCCGGAACCAGAAGUUAAAAUUUUGGUAGAUAGGGAUCCCGUAAAAACUUCUUUCGAGGAAUGGGCCAGACCGGGUCAUUUCUCAAGAACAAUAGCUAAAGGGCCUGAUACUACCACUUGGAUCUGGAACCUACAUGCUGAUGCUCACGAUUUCGAUAGCCAUACCAGUGAUUUGGAGGAGAUCUCUCGAAAAGUAUUUAGUGCACAUUUCGGUCAACUCUCCAUCAUCUUUCUUUGGCUGAGCGGCAUGUAUUUCCACGGUGCUCGUUUUUCUAAUUAUGAAGCGUGGCUAAGUGAUCCAACUCACAUUGGGCCUAGUGCCCAGGUGGUUUGGCCAAUAGUGGGCCAAGAAAUAUUAAAUGGUGACGUAGGCGGGGGUUUCCGAGGAAUACAAAUAACCUCUGGUUUUUUUCAGAUUUGGCGAGCAUCUGGAAUAACUAGUGAAUUACAACUCUAUUGUACAGCAAUUGGGGCAUUGGUCUUUGCAGCGUUAAUGCUUUUUGCUGGUUGGUUUCAUUAUCAUAAAGCGGCGCCAAAAUUGGCUUGGUUUCAAGAUGUAGAAUCUAUGCUGAAUCACCAUUUGGCAGGGCUACUAGGACUUGGGUCUCUCUCUUGGGCGGGGCAUCAAGUACACGUAUCUUUACCGAUUAACCAAUUUCUAAACGCUGGAGUAGAUCCUAAAGAGAUACCACUUCCUCAUGAAUUUAUCUUGAAUCGAGAUCUUUUGGCUCAACUUUAUCCCAGUUUUGCCGAGGGAGCAACCCCAUUUUUCACCUUGAAUUGGUCAAAAUAUGCGGACUUUCUUACUUUUCGUGGAGGAUUAGAUCCAGUAACUGGGGGUCUGUGGCUGACUGAUAUUGCCCAUCACCAUUUAGCUAUUGCAAUUCUUUUCCUGAUAGCGGGUCACAUGUAUAAGACCAACUGGGGUAUUGGUCAUGGAACGGGUCACAUGAAUAAGACCAACAGGGGUAUUGGUCAUGGACUAAAAGAUAUUUUAGAAGCCCAUAAAGGUGCAUUUACAGGUCAGGGCCAUAAAGGCCUAUAUGAGAUCCUAACAACAUCAUGGCAUACUCAAUUAUCUCUUAACUUAGCUAUGUUAAGAUCUUUAACCAUUGUUGUAGCUCAUCAUAUGUAUUCCAUGCCCCCUUAUCCGUAUCUAGCUACUGACUAUGGUACACAACUGUCAUUGUUCACAUAUCACAUGUGGAAUGGUGGAUUUCUCAUAGUUGGUGCUGCCGCGCUUGCAGCCAUUUUUAUGGUAAGAGAUUAUGAUCCAACUACUCGGUACAAAGAUCUAUUAGAUCGUGUCCUUAGGCAUCAUGAUGCAAUCAUAUCUCAUCUUAACUAGGCAUGUAUAUUUCUAGGCUUUCACAGUUUUGGUUUGUAUAUUCAUAAUUAUACCAUAUGCGCUUUAGGGCAUCCUCAAGCUAUGUUUUCAGAUACCGCUAUACAAUUACAACCCGUUUUCGCUCAAUGGAUACAAAACACCUAUGCUUUAGCACCUGGUGCAACGGCUCCUGGUGCAACAACAAGCACCAAUUUAACUUAGGGGGUGGUGAUUUAGCGGCAGUGGGUGGAAAGGUGGCUUUGUUGCCAAUUCCAUUAGGGACCACCGAUUUCUUGGUACAUCACAUUUAUGCAUUUAUGAUUCAUGUCAUCGUAUUGAUACUCUUGAAAGGUUUUCUAUUUACUCGCAGUUCUCAUUUGAUACCAAGUAAGGCAAAUCUUGGUUUUUGUUUUCCUUGUGACGGACAUGGAAGAGGGGGUACACGCCAAGUAUCGGCCUGGGAUCAUGUCUUCUUAGGACUAUUCUGGAUGUACAAUUCAAUUUCGGUAGUAAUAUUCUAUUUCAGUUGGAAGAUGCAGUCAGAUGUUUGGGAUAGUGUAAGUGAUCAAGAGGUAGUAAAUCAUAUCACGGGAGGAAACUUUGCGCAGAGUUCUAUUACUAUAAAUGGGUGGCUC
rnacentral:lncRNA from 1 species